GGAAGUAAAAGUCUAACAAGGUUUCCGUAGGUGAACCUGCGGAAGGAUCAUUAUCGAAAUACUUAUUUAGCGUUCCGUGCUAUCCCAUUGUUUUAUUUACCCUGUUGCUUCCACUGGAUGAGUUUCCAUACCUUGUGUUUGAGAAACUUUGGCUUGUGUAAGAUUCAUUCACGGCCAGCCAGUGAGAAGACCAUUUACAAAACCCUGUUAAGAACCAAUUGUCUGAAUAUUUUACUCCAAUGAAAUAAAACUUUCAACAACGGAUCUCUAGGCUCUU
rnacentral:misc_RNA from 1 species